rnacentral:rRNA from 1 species
AACGCGAAGAACCUUACCCAGGCUCGAAGUGUAGAGCGCGCUAACAGAGAUGUUAGUUCCCGUAAGGGGUUCUAUAUAGGUGCUGCAUGGCUGUCGUCAGCUCGUGCCGUGAGGUGUUUGGUUAAGUCCAGCAACGAGCGCAACCCUUAUUGUCAGUUGCCAACGCGUUAAGGCGGGGACUCUGGCAAGACUGCCUAGGUUAACUAGGAGGAAGGCGAGGAUGACGUCAAGUCCGCAUGGCCCUUAUGUCUGGGGCUACACACGUGCUACAAUGGUCGGUACAGAAGGCAGCGAAGCCGCGAGGUGGAGCUAAUCCAGAAAGCCGAUCUCAGUUCGGAUUGCAGUCUGCAACUCGGCUGCAUGAAGUUGGAAUUGCUAGUAAUGGCGUGUCAGCAACAGCGCCGUGAAUACGUUCCCGGGCCUUGUACACACCGAGUAUA